rnacentral:rRNA from 1 species
GUGAGAGCAAGAGCCCGGAGAUGGAUUCUGAGACACGAAUCCAGGCCCUACGGGGUGCAGCAGGCGCGAAAACUUUACAAUGCUGGAAACAGCGAUAAGGGGACCUCGAGUGCCAGGUUACAAAUCUGGCUGUCGUGAUGCCUAAAAAGCAUUGCAUAGCAAGGGCCGGGCAAGACCGGUGCCAGCCGCCGCGGUAACACCGGCGGCUCGAGUGGUAACCGUUAUUAUUGGGUCUAAGGGGUCUGUAGCCGGCCGGAUAAGUCUCUUGGGAAAUCUGGCAGCUUAACUGUCAGGCUUUCAGGAGAUACUGUCUGGCUCGAGGCCGGGAGAGGUGAGAGGUACUUCAGGGGUAGGGGUGAAAUCUUGUAAUCCUUGAAGGACCACCAGUGGCGAAGGCGUCUCACCAGAACGGACCUGACGGCAAGGGACGAAAGCUAGGGGCACGAACCGGAUUAGAUACCCGGGUAGUCCUAGCCGUAAACGAUACUCGCUAGGUGUCGGCAACGGUGCUACCGUUGUCGGUGCCGUAGGGAAGCCGUGAAGCGAGCCACCUGGGAAGUACGGCCGCAAGGCUGAAACUUAAAGGAAUUGGCGGGGGAGCAC